rnacentral:rRNA from 1 species
GCUUACGGCCACACCUCCCUGAGCACGCCCCGAUCUCGUCUGAUCUCGGAAGCUAAGCAGGGUCGGGCCCGGUUCGUACUUGGAUGGGAGACGCCUGGGAUACCAGGUGCUGUAAGCC